rnacentral:rRNA from 1 species
CGCUGGAGCGUCAGACCCAUACCGGGCCGCUUCGGCAAUUAUUGUGCUGUAAAGUACUUUGGCCAAGCUGAAGCGAGUAGGAGGGCCGCUGCGGUGAGCGUCGAAGCUUGGGACGUGAGUCUAAGUGGAGCCGCCGCAGGUGCAGAUCUUGGUGGUAGUAGCAAAUAUUCA